ACAAGCUAACACGCAUGACUGUCGAGAUGCUAUCGGAGUAGUUUAUUAUUCGAGCUGCAUAAAAUUAGUUCAUAAAAAAUAGCUUUGCGAGAUUUUACAGAAAACUUUUGACCUGUUUCUUUAAUCUAAAUAAACGUUUAGUAGCAUUCCGGAAAGUAUUAGCAAUGCCACCAAAACAGAAGACAAAACGAGAAGAUUGGCGUGAGUGCCUGACUUGUGGUCGCAUCGUCCAUAGAUUGGACAUUUCCAGACACCAAUAUAGCUGUAAAUCUGGACAGCCAAUCGUCCAUGGAUUUAUUAAGGAUGGAGUACUCCAUGCUACUGUCUCUCCUGAAGGAGAUGAUUAUUUUACCGGUGCAAUAGACUUGCCUAAAUGGAAAGAUGAGCUUGUGUUAGUGCACCCUGCAUCGAUGCUCCUCUGUGGGCUGUCAAUUGGUCAUCUGUGUAUACUGAAUGAUUCACAUGUCUUGCGGGCAUGGCCAAAUACCAGUCUCCACCCUGUAAGUGUGGUUUUGCCAAAAACAUCAAUAUUGCAAGAAGAAAUACACUUUGAAGCUGGGAAUCUGGUCACUGUUCAGAUUUUCAAGGAUGCUGGAAGGAUAGCUGAAGAGGUUGAAAUUGAAAUAAGGACUUUGAAUGAUAUUUUCCUGAAAGAUGAAUUUCUGCAGUAUUUAAGCCUGAAAAUGGAAGGAAAGUACAUCGUGCAAGGCAGUGUUUACACAGUGCAUUAUUUUGGACUCUCGUGCUCCUACUGCAUCAAGAAAGUACAAGUUGAACUUCCCGAGACAUACCGUCUUGAAGUGAAACUGUUACCAGCAAAGGAAAGUGUUGUGUGUCAGGAUUUGUCGGCGAUAAAUAUUUCUGGGGUCUCGGAUCCUGAAGAUAUUUUGGACGUUUCAACAUCAUCCACACCAUCAACAAACAGUAUGUUAUCACCUCAACUUCAGACGCCUGAGAAAUGUUUUGAAAGAUCUGAGUAUUUCCAAACACCAACUAUACACCGGUCAGGAAAUAAAUCAGAAUUUAAUUUCAACAGAUUUGCUAAAGUGACUGCUCAAACAAAAUUUGUGCUUUCACAUUUCAAAGGAUCCAUUUCAGAUUUGACCACUGAGAAGAAGAUAACAUUUGACUACAUUGGUGGACUGGACAAACAGAUUAAAGCCGUUUCAUACUUUUUUCAUAUUUAUCUAAAGAGAUCUGAUCUUCUGGCACAUUAUGGUCAUCGCACAUCACAAGGAAUUUUGCUCUUUGGGCCUCGUGGAACAGGAAAAACUAUGUUUGCAAAAGCGAUAGCCAAUGAAAUGUCAUUGUUUCCUGUCUACAUUUCUGGUGACACUGAUGUCCUGAGCAAAUUUUAUGGAGAGACAGAGAAAAAGCUAAAAGACAUCUUUCAGUUAGCAGCUAAAAGAUCCCCUAGCUUGAUUAUUUUUGAUGAACUGGACAGACUGUGUCCUCCUCGAGACAACACUCAUUCCGAUUUAAAAAAGCGCAUUGUGACCACUUUGAUCACCUUGCUUGAUGAACUUGCACAUAAAGAGUCCAAAGUUGUGUGUUAUGUUCUCGGUAUAACCAGUAAACCUGACAGCAUUGAUCCUGCCUUACGUAGGGCUGGCCGCCUUGAUUAUGAAAUUGAAACUAGUGUGCCUUCUGCCGCAGAGAGACUGCAGAUAUUAAAAGCACACCUGCACGAUGUUCCACACAACAUAUCAGAAGCUGAUCUAAAGGCCGUUUCAGAUGCAGCACAUGGUUUUGUAGGUGCCGACUUGACAGCUCUCUUAAAGAAGGCAAAACUAUGUGCUAUGAAACGUUUAAAGCAAAAGGAAGGAACGAUCCAUGUUUUAACAUAUGAAGAUCUGCUGGUAGCUAUAAAGCAGAUUUCCCCCAGUGCCAUGAGAGAGGUGCAGCUUGAAGUUCCAGAGGUGAAAUGGAAAGAUAUUGGAGGACAAGCAGAAAUUAAAUUAAAACUGCAGCAGGCAGUACAAUGGCCUUUGCAACAUCCUGAAUCAUUUACACGGCUUGGAAUCUCACCACCCCGUGGUGUGCUUCUGUAUGGACCUCCAGGAUGUUCUAAAACAAUGAUAGCUAAGGCAUUGGCCACUGAGAGUGGACUGAAUUUUCUGGCUGUCAAGGGUCCAGAACUCUUUACCAAAUGGGUUGGAGAAUCAGAAAGAGCUGUGCGAGAGGUUUUCCGCAAAGCUAGAGCUGCAGCCCCAUCCAUCAUAUUUUUUGAUGAGAUCGAUGCAUUAGCUGUUGAGAGAGGAAGGUGGUGCCAGCAAUGUUGCUGACCGGGUGCUGACACAAUUACUGACAGAAAUUGAUGGCAUUGAAAGACUGCAAGGUGUCACCAUUGUAGCAGCUACCAAUCGUCCUGACAUGCUUGACAAGGCUCUUUUGAGGCCAGGACGCAUCGACAGAAUUCUGUAUGUGCCAUUGCCAGAUCUUUCCACGAGAAGAGAAAUCUUGCAGAUUUCAGUAAGGGAGAUGCCAUUAGCAGAAGAUGUGGUGCUGGAUGAUUUAGCAAAACAA
rnacentral:misc_RNA from 1 species